CUCCUUAUUCUCCCAAAAUCUCUUUCUUUCUCAUAAACCUUAUGCCGCCGAGAAAAGUACUUCAAUCUUUCUCAUAUUUUGUAGAUUGAUGGAGACGAAGCUAAUCUUCUUACUGGAUUUUGAUUUCACGGGUGAUAAUAUAUAAAUCUGCAAGAUAUGGAUAUGCUACUAGAGAAGAUGUAGGUCUGAAAGAGGAUUAAACGGUAUUCAGUGCAUCCGUUUAGAGGUUCUCAUCUACAAUUCUAAUAUGUUGGCGUUCUUAAGCUUCUGAUUUAAGCUUAUUAGCUUUAUCUAUUUAACAGGUAUAUUGAACAGAAGUUGCAAGACAUUUAUAAAAUAUUAUGAAUCCAGUGCACUUUAAAAGGGCUGUUGGACAUAAGAAUUUGUUCUACAUUGACGACAAGGAUGUUGAGUUCAGAAAUAUAAGAAGUUACUCAUGAUCUUCAUGCACUAUCUAAGUUACGUUUUCGAACCUUUUGUUUUAUACAGUCUCUUUUGGUGAUUGGUGCUCCUUUACCAAAAGCUCCACUUAUUAGAAGUAUAUUAAGGUGGGUACCGAUAAAGGGGAAUAGAACAAUACAGUCUCUUUUUGCUUUUGACUUAUUCAUAGUUACCUUUAUAAUGCAGCAGGAUCAUAGUGUGUAGGAUUCUAAUUUAUGUGAAUUAAACAAGGCAUUGGCAAGCAUUUAUUUUAAAUAAUAUUAGGGCCUGGAAGAGUACAUGAUCUCUUCCUCUGGAAGAAUUUUGUAAGCAAGGUUUUAAAUUUUGUACCGAGUAUUGCAUCGGAAAUAGGAUUUAAAAAUAAAAUGUGCAAGAUAUUGACAGGGGCAACGUUGAGUACCACGUUGUCUCACAUCCUUUUUAUUUUAUGUUUUAAGUGAAUUUCAUCUUAACUUUGUGAUGAAAUGUUUAUUUUCUUUCCAUUUCCGGGACAGGUUAGCAUAUAUUUUGAUCCGCAAGAAGUGGUGAAAGUCACAGUACCUUCAAUGUUUAUUCGAUGUUUCUAUAUUUGCAGUAGUGUUGUAGUAGCAACUGAUUUGUCUUUUCAUUCUAACUAUAUAUAUAGCUUUGCAUUCGUUAUUGACGUUAUUCCAUGAAUCAUGUUGCAUCACAGGACCCUACUUCGUAGUUUUUAAGCAUUUGGAUCACAAUUUUUGUGUUUUUCUUUAUGGAUGGGUUUCUAGAGUCAACCGUUGCAAGUUAAUGUUUUGCUUAAUAUGGUCAUGGUCGCCAACCGUGUGAACUUAGUUUGCAAUUCAUUUAUUUGAGAAAUCUACGUCCCUCUUUUAAACUAUUUAUGAUUGUAGAUUACUACUGACUAAUGACUAUCGAGGUUAGCUUCAGGGUAAAGGGCAAUACUAAGAUGAAAAAAUUAUGAUUUCUUAUGGCGACCAUAAAUGAAAGAUACGGACGUACGGUAUUCAGACAAAUGCCGAGUAAGACCUCAGAUCCACUAGAAAUGGUAGAUGGGAUGGAAUUGGAAAACAACUUGGAGAGUUUUUCAUUUCAUUAAAAUUUAUAAACUACUGGGAUGAGUUUAUGUAUUCUCUGUUCACAUCAAGUCAUGCAACCAGCUUGGAGAGUACCUCAUAUUAAAUCCGUAAAGCAUCCACACCUUAUGCCAUCAACUCGAUCCAAGAUGGGCAAGUUGCUAACAGUAUCGGUGUUAUACUAAGUGUAUGCGAUGGUGAAGUUGGGCACUACAAAACCGCUACAUUGACAACAGUUGUUGUUCCUGCACUGCUGUUUCCUCCUCGGAUUACCAUGAGUAUGUAACAUGUGCUAUUCUUGGUUCUGAAGUAUGCAAGACCCGCAGAUCAAUAUUGUUGGGUGUUCUAUUUUUGUUUGGUUUCUUUCUUGCAUGGUCUAUGACUUCUGAAAUAAUGGAGAUCUGUUUAGUACUCCAGUAAAUUAAUCUUGGAGGGCUGCAGAUCCGAAGUUGUUUAAUGGUGUAAUGGGGCAAAUAGCGAGAAAAUGAAUUGAAGCAUUCCUGCCCCCCUACGCCGAGUAAGAUUCUCUCAGGUCAAGCUAUGCUGCAUAUUAUGCGUUAAGCAUACAACUAUUCCUAGAAACAACCCCUGAUUUAUGUAUAGAAACCAUUCACCCUCAAAUAUUCCAAUUUUUAUUGUGUAAUUUUCCCAGAAACAGCAAGGGAGACUACUGUAAUUUCAUUUUUGUUACCUAUGUUCCCAGGUGAUAAAUAUGGGAAUUAAUUAGGUGCCUGCACUUCUGUUUUUAAACCAGUAGCAUGAAGUUCGGCCCAUCUCAAAACAAAUGGAUAAUGCGUUUAUAUAAUAUAGUGCUUUUAGCAUUAAUGCUAAA